CAGCGCGGUAGGGCGGUGAGCACGCAUGCGCACUCCGCAGAGGGAGGCCGGGAGACUGUGUGGGGGUUUCUCGGCUUGGAUCGUGUUCCCCUCUCGCGUCGGACUCCGCCCCCAGACUCUUCCUGCGCCGCCAGAUAGCUAAGAAAGGACAAUGGGAGUUCAAGGGCUUUGGAAACUGCUGGAGUGCACUGGAAGACCUAUAAACCCACAAAUACUGGAAGGAAAAAUUCUUGCUGUUGAUAUCAGUAUUUGGUUGAACCAGGCAAUAAAGGGAGUCAGAGAUCGUCAUGGUAAUACUAUACAAAAUGCUCAUCUCCUCACUCUUUUUAAUCGACUCUGCAAGUUGCUGUUCUUUCGAAUUCGGCCUGUCUUUGUUUUUGAUGGGGAGGCACCACUUCUGAAGAGACAGACCUUGGCAAAGCGAAGGCACAGAAAAGAAUUGGCCGUCAGUGAUUCCAGGAAAACUGCAGAGAAACUCCUGAAAACAUUUCUGAAGAGACAAGCUAUCAAAGCUGCUCUUUCUGGCAAAAGCAAUGAAGUUUAUCCCAGUAUUUCACAAGUUCGAAGAGAAGAAAUUGAUGAUAUUUAUGUACUGCCCUCUUUAGAGGAUGAAGAGAAAAACAGCUCAGAGGAGGAAGAAGAAAAAGAAUGGGAAAUAAGAAUGACCCAGAAAAAGCUACUGCAGGAACAAUUAUUUGAAAACCCUCAUGCUAUAGAUAUAGAUUCAGAAGAUUUUAACAAGCUGCCUCCGGAAGUAAAGCAUGAGAUCUUGUCUGAUAUGAAGGAACUUACUAAACGAAACAGAACAUUAUUUGAAGCAAUGCCAGAGGACUCCAGUGACUUUUCCCAGUACCAGCUUAGGGGUUUGCUUAAGAAGAGUCACCUCAGUCGGUGCAUAGAAAAUGUACAAAAAGAGUUGAAUCAGCAGCACUCGGGUCAAAUCCAAACACAAUAUGACAAUGAAGGUGGUUUUGUGAAAGAAAUGGAAUCUAGGAGGAUAAUCUCUGAAGACUCUUCUCACUAUAUCUUAAUAAAAGGUUUUCAAGCAAAAGAAGAUGCUAGUAAAGACUUGGAAGCUACUGCAGGACCCUCAUCAGAAAGGUCUGAAUUGAAUAAAAUAAAUGAAUCUCCAGCUAAUGCAGAGUUAAUUGCAUCUGACAAGUUGCAGACAGACAAAGAUAACAGCGUAGUCACAGCACCACCCUCUCCCCAAACAUUGCUUGCUAUCCAGGCAGCAAUGGUGGAAAGCAGCUCAGAAGAAGAACUGGGAAAUGAAGAUAAAGAACGACUAAACCUGACUCAGUCUGUAAUGGAAGAAGGCAGUGUGUCUCCAAGAACACUGCGGGCAAUUCAGCAUGCUCUGAAUGAUGAUGAUGAAAAGGAAGAAGUUGUUACUGUUAGAGCUGAUAGAGUGCAAACAGAAAGGUCAAAAGCGAAGGAUUUUCUUCUUAGUAGCUCAGAUGAGGAAGAUCAGAUUCCUGAAGUGAAAGAGGAUAAAGAAAUACUUAUAUCUACAAUUCAUUCAUCAAACCAAGCAAUUGUGCAGGAUAUUGAAUUUGAACAAAAGAGUCAGGAGUUGGGAAAAAAUUGUAUUACACCCAAGGGCACCAGUAUGUCCACAGAUAAAAAUUACUCUUGUGUUGAUGAUACUGAAAAAGGGAAAGAAGUUGUAGACACAGAAUUAAAUGGUUCAAAAACAGACUCAACCUAUUUGGAAGACAAGGAUGUGAACUUGUGCAUUCAGAAGCCAAGCUGUUCCUCUUCACAAGCUAGUACAGGGCCUUUGGUUCACAGUGAAACAGCAGGAUUUUCUAAAACCGAGGAAAACUUGAAAAUCUGUGAAAUUACAGAGGAAGUUCAUUCACAAACAGAAGAGAGUGUGUCUGAGGUACAAAAGGAAACUGAAAUUCUUCCACCAACAGAUGGUCCUAAGGAGGGAAGAGAAGGGACAUUACAGUCUGAAGACAGUGAUUCUGAUGGAAGCUUCAUUGAAGUGGAUGAUGUGAUCAGUAACGAGGAUGAAUUUUCUACUGAAUAUGAUGAGAGACUGGGUGAUAAAACAGCACUUUCGGAAAGGGAGGAAGAUGGACAUGAUAUAGUCACACAGAACUUGCUGAAUGAUUCUGAUGAAGUGCAACUGGCAAGCAGUCAGAAUGCUGAAAAAGAAGAUAAUAUUAGAGAUGCAGGAGAUGAGUGGCAAGACAUCAGUUUGGAAGAUCUAGAAGAAUUAGAAAAUGACCUUUCUGCUGAACAGGAAAUGCUUCAGUCUCAAAAACAACAGCAGGAGCGUGUUGCUUCUUCUGUAACGGGGCAAAUGUUCUUGGAAAGCCAGGAGCUUCUCCGCCUAUUCGGCAUUCCGUACAUUGAAGCUCCUAUGGAAGCAGAGGCACAGUGUGCUGUAUUGGACCUCACUGAUCAGACCUCUGGAACAAUCACUGAUGAUAGUGAUGUUUGGUUAUUUGGUGCACGGCAUGUUUAUAAAAAUUUCUUCAGUCAAAACAAAUAUGUGGAAUAUUACCAGUAUGUUGAUUUUCAAAACCAGCUGGGGUUAGAUCGAAACAAGUUAAUUAAUUUGGCAUACUUGCUUGGAAGUGACUACACUGAGGGAAUCCCAAAUGUUGGCUUUGUAACAGCGAUGGAGAUCUUAAAUGAAUUUCCUGGACAUGGAUUGGAACCUCUUCUAAAAUUUGCUGAGUGGUGGAACGAGGCUCAGAAGAAUAAGAAAAUCAGACCUAAUCCACGUGAUACCAAAGUCAAGAAGAAAUUGCGGGAGCUGCAGCUUUCUUCAGGUUUCCCAAAUCCAGCAGUGGCAGAAGCAUACCUGAAGCCUGUGGUGGAUGAGACAAGGGGCUCAUUCACGUGGGGAAAGCCUGAUGUAGAGCAGAUUAGAGAAUUCUGUAAAGAUCACUUUGGCUGGACUAGGGCAAAGACAGAUGACAUCCUUUUGCCUGUGAUAAAACAGCUGAACUUGCAACAGACUCAGCUUCGAAUUGAUUCAUUCUUCAGAUUAGAACAACAUGAAAAACAAGCUAUUAAAAGUCAGAGACUACGCAGAGCUGUGAGUUGUCUAAAGAGAAAGGAAAAUGAUGAAGUUUCAGAGGCUACUGCUGCUAUGGAGGAAGAACUUAGUCAGCACAAGGAAAAGAAAGGGGAAAGUGCUUCAGGCUGCACAGAUCAUCAAGGCAUAGUGACAGAAGUUCAAACUGGAAAGAAAAGAAAGCAUUCAGAUUCCAGAAAAGUGCAUUUAUUUGGAGGUGGUUUUGUUGGGAGUUUGCAUCUUUCAGAAACUUCUAGUGACUCCUCAGCAGAAGAAUCAGAAAAAAGAGAUUUAGACAAAAGAAGGAAAAUUGCCUCUAAAACAGAGACAGCAGACCACAAAAAGAGCUACAGUAGCUCAAGUGGUGAGGAUGAAGAACUGGGAAACAUGAUUUUGGUGACUGCCAAACCUGUAUUUAAGGGCAGAAAACAAAAAUCACGGAGUAUGGGAGGAAGAAAGAAGAGGAGGUCUUAAAGGAAAGAAGUCAUAAAAAAGCAGACUAUGUAAAUGGGCUUUAUUACUUAAACUCUCUAACUGCGAAGCAAACAAUUUGACAAACAAGGAUUUUUGUUGAGUGUGGUCAUCGGGAAGAUAGAAGCAGAGAUUUAGGCUAAAUCAAACUACAUGAGCUGGUACAAUUUUUCUUUUCCUUCAGAAAUUAGCUGCUACCUUCCCAUUCAAAUAAUCGUAAGCCUUCUAAUCUUGAUUU